UUGUUCCUACGGGAGGCAGCAGUGGGGGAUAUUGCACAAUGGGGGAAACCCUGAUGCAGCGACGCCGCGUGAGCGAUGAAGUAUUUCGGUAUGUAAAGCUCUAUCAGCAGGGAAGAGCAGAAGACGGUACCUCUUGAAUAAGCCACGGCUAACUACGUGCCAGCAGCCGCGGUAAUACGUAGGUGGCAAGCGUUGUCCGGAUUUACUGGGUGUAAAGUGCGUGUAGCCGGGCUGACGAGUCAGAUGUGAAAUUCCGGGGCUCAACCCCGGACCUGCAUUUGAAACUGUUGGUCUUUAGUAUCGGG
rnacentral:rRNA from 1 species